GAUGAACGCUAGCGGGAGGCCUAACACAUGUAAGCCGAGCGGUAUUAUUUCUUCGGAAAUGAGAGAGCGGCGUACGGGUGCGGAACACGUGUGCAACCUGCCUUUAUCUGGGGGAUAGCCUUUCGAAAGGAAGAUUAAUACUCCAUAAUAUAUUGAACGGCAUCGUUUAAUAUUGAAAGCUCCGGCGGAUAGAGAUGGGCACGCGCAAGAUUAGCUAGUUGGUGAGGUAACGGCUCACCAAGGCGAUGAUCUUUAGGGGGCCUGAGAGGGUGACCCCCCACACUGGUACUGAGACACGGACCAGACUCCUACGGGAGGCAGCAGUGAGGAAUAUUGGUCAAUGGGUGCAAGCCUGAACCAGCCAUCCCGCGUGAAGGACGACUGCCCUAUGGGUUGUAAACUUCUUUUGUAUAGGGAUAAACCUACUCUCGUGAGGGUAGCUGAAGGUACUAUACGAAUAAGCACCGGCUAACUCCGUGCCAGCCGCCGCCGUAAGAC
rnacentral:rRNA from 1 species